GCUUUUUUAAAAACAUUAAAAAGAAUAUUAUCAAAGCUUAGAUUUUUGUUAUUUUAUAAAUAUGGUGUUUGAUGUUGGCUCAGGGUUAACGCUACUACUAAAUAUAACGCAUGCUAGUGCCAAAUUAAAUAAACAUUAUUUGGCGCGCCUUGGUGAGUACGGUCUAGUCUCUGCCUAUUUGAAAAGAUAGAUGAGUCGGGCUUAACAAUAAACGCCUGUUACGGGUAGUUUGUUUAAAUUGAUUUUUGUUGAAGCAUCAGUCACUUGCGGGGUUCGAGUGUCCCUUAUAACAGCAGCGGGGAAUAUUUAACAAUGUACUUUAGUAUGAUUUAGUUAUAGUAGCUUACUGGGGAAGUAGUAUUCGCCUAUUUUUUACUAAUAAACAUAAUGAGGGUCGUGUAAAACAGUUAUGGCCAAUACAUGUGCCAGCAGCCGCGGUAAUACAUGAGUAAUAAAGCGUUAUCCUUAUUAGUC
rnacentral:rRNA from 1 species